GGUUCCAUAGUGUAGCGGUUAUCACGUCUGCUUUACACGCAGAAGGUCUCCAGUUCAAUCCUGGAUGGAACCA